AUGGCCGCAGCGGCCGCCGCGGCGUGCAGGCGAGGCAUGCUCCUGCACAACCACCACCACCAGUGGCCGACGCGGCGGGCCGGCCCCGCCGCCGCCCGCAGCAUCUCGCAGCUCGUCAAGACCAACGGCCGCCGCGCCUUCCUCGUCGACACCCUCGCCCUGGUGAGGAAGCUGGAGUCGCAGGGCGUCCCGACCAAGCAGGCGGAGGCCAUCACAUCCGCCAUCACGGAGGUCCUCAACGACAGCCUCGAGAGCAUCUCCGAGUCCUUCGUCUCCAAGGCCGAGAUGCAGAAGAGUGAGAUGCUGCAGGAGGCCAAUAUCUCCAAGUUCAAGUCACAAGUGCAGAGCUCGCAGGAAAACCAUUUCUCUUUGUUACAGCGGGAGACUGAAAAACUCCGUGGAGACAUUGAUAAGAUGAGGAGUGAACUGAAGUAUGAGAUUGACAAGGUCACUGCAGGGCAGCGGUUGGAUCUGAACCUUGAAAGAGGGCGCAUACGUGAUGAGCUCGCCAAGCAGAAUGAAGAAACCACAGAUCUCACCACAAAGCUUGACAAGGAAAUUCAUUCACUGAAGGCCCAGCUGGAGGCAGCAAAGUAUGAUGUCAUCAAAUACUGCAUAGGUACCAUCGUUUCGAUAUCAGCCGUUGGACUCGCCGUUCUCCGCAUCGUGAUGUGA
rnacentral:rRNA from 1 species